GUGGGAGGUAGGAGGAGGUGAACAGUAGGAGGUAGGAGGAGGUGAACAGUGGGAGGAGGUGAACAGUAGGAGGUAGGAGGAGGUGAACAGUAGGAGGUAGGAGGAGGUGAACAGUGGGAGGUAGGAGGAGGUGAACAGUGGGAGGUAGGAGGAGGUGAACAGUAGGAGGAGGUGAACAGUAGGAGGUAGGAGGAGGUGAACAGUAGGAGGAGGUGAACAGUAGGAGGUAGGAGGAGGUGAACAGUAGGAGGAGGUGAACAGUAGGAGGAGGUGAACAGUAGGAGGAGGUGAACAGUAGGAGGUAGGAGGAGGUGAACAGUAGGAGGAGGUGAACAGUGGGAGGUAGGAGGAGGUGAACAGUAGGAGGAGGUGAACAGUGGGAGGAGGUGAACAGUAGGAGGAGGUGAACAGUAGGAGGAGGUGAACAGUAGGAGAUAGGAGGAGGUGAACAGUAGGAGGAGGUGAACAGUAGGAGGAGGUGAACAGUAGGAGGUAGGAGGAGGUGAACAGUAGGAGGAGGUGAACAGUAGGAGGUAGGAGGAGGUGAACAGUGGGAGGAGGUGAACAGUAGGAGGAGGUGAACAGUAGGAGGAGGUGAACAGUAGGAGGAGGUGAACAGUAGGAGGUAGGAGGAGGUGAACAGUAGGAGGUAGUAGGAG
rnacentral:lncRNA from 1 species